AGGAAUUCUGCUGCUGGUGAAAAUAACUGUGCUAUGUUUGGCCAGCCCUGGACUCCGAGUCCUGAACGCACAUUGUAUUUGGCUUUGUUCCUCGCUGUUUUCCUGCACAAGAACACAACAACAUCAUCAAUUUCCCUUCACUUUCACUGACUGAAAAGCUGAAUUCACGAUGAAGAACACACAGCGCUCACUCUGGAGUUCUGUAAAUCUACAAAUGCUGAAUUUAACAAAGUUUACAGGAGCUUGUUAUUGUUUUAAUAACGCAGAUUUUUCUUGCAGAUUUUGGCCACGUUGUAAAACAAAUCCACAAACUAACAGUUUUCAGCAUUUUGUGCUUUUUUUACUCCAUCUGUCCUCAAAUCUGUAGUCAAAUAGUUUGAAGUAGUGUGGUCACGAUACUGGGAUUUCAGACUUUGAUACGAUACCUUGACAAACAUCAAUACCCUACUAUAUGAUUUUCGAUACUACAAGUUAAAAAUAUCGAUAUUUGGUACAAGUUUCGAUACCAAGAAACGCGGAAGUAGUAUGUCCCAAAGCUUGCAUACUUUUAGGGUGUAGUAUAAGUAUGCGAAUUGGGACGCAACAACUGACUGAGCACUGAGCGAACAAAAACCAGCCUCAGACAGUAUUUUACCAGUCUGAAUUUGAGGACUGAAUUUGAUUGCUGGUUGACAAGCGGAAUAAAAUGGCAGGGAGAAAUACCCAAACCACAACAACAUGAUAAAACAUGACUUAAAAAC